rnacentral:rRNA from 1 species
CCUACGGGUGGCUGCAGUCGAGAAUCAUUCACAAUGGGGGAAACCCUGAUGGUGCGACGCCGCGUGGGGGAAUGAAGGUCUUCGGAUUGUAAACCCCUGUCAUGUGGGAGCAAAUUAAAAAGAUAGUACCACAAGAGGAAGAGACGGCUAACUCCGUGCUAGCAGCCGCGGUAAUACAGAGGUAUCAAGCGUUGUUCGGAAUCACUGGGCGUAAAGCGUGCGUAGGCUGUUUCGUAAGUCGUGUGUGAAAGGCGCGGGCUCAACCCGCGGACGGCACAUGAUACUGGGAGCCUAGAGUAAGGGAGGGGGAACCGGAAUUCUCGGUGUAGCAGUGAAAUGCGUAGAUAUCGAGAGGAACACUCGUGGCGAAGGCGGGUUCCUGGACAUUAACUGACGCUGAGGCACGAAGGCCAGGGGAGCGAAAGGGAUUAGAUACCCCUGUAGUC